GUAGGGAAUAUUGGGCAAUGGUCGGAAGACUGACCCAGCCAUGCCGCGUGCAGGAAGACGGCCCUCUGGGUUGUAAACUGCUUUUAUCUGGGAAGAAAAAGGCCAUGCGUGGCAAAUUGCCGGUACCAGAUGAAUAAGCACCGGCUAACUCCGUGCCAGCAGCCGCGGUAAUACGGAGGGUGCGAGCGUUGUCCGGAUUUAUUGGGUUUAAAGGGUGCGUAGGCGGCUGAUUAAGUCAGCGGUGGAAGACUUCGGCUUAACCGGAGCAGUGCCGUUGAUACUGGUUGGCUUGAGUGUCGGAGGGGUACAUGGAAUUGAUGGUGUAGCGGUGAAAUGCAUAGAUACCAUCAGGAACACCGAUAGCGAAGGCAUUGUACUGGCCGACAACUGACGCUGAUGCACGAAAGUGUGGGGAUCGAACAGGAUUAGAAACCCCUGUAGUCC
rnacentral:rRNA from 1 species